CGCGCGGGGAGGAAAGACCCGGCGCCCCCGGGUCCAAGGUGGGAGGGGAGCACGGUGGCGGCAUCGCCGGAGCGGAGCGUGCUGGCUUGCCUGGAAUGGCUCCGCGGCAGAGGCGCUGAUCGGGAGAGCUCGCGGAGGAGUUCCCUUCGUAUUUCCUCUCUUUCCACCUGCGCGGCUCAGCCCCCUCGACCUACUCGACCAGCUGCCUGCUAUGGUCGCCAUGGCCGCCGCCCAUCUUCUAGGAGGAGAAAGCUGGGCAACUGAUGCGUCGACUGCGCGCAUGACAUCAAUAUAAACACGGGAAGUGAGGCAAGGGAAUACAACCACGGCCGUGUGGUCUUCCAGGCCUAAAUCGUUGUGUCAGUAGUCAGUUCGCGUCUUCUCUCCUCUCACAAAGUUGUAAGUUGUUUUCUGCUUUGCUCAUAUCUAUUCGGAUAUUGUUAGAUUGACCACGUUUUGGUUGGUUCAGUAAAUUAGAUGAACAUGUUGUUUCAGUUUGUGAUUACAUUAUAGUGUAUACAUUUAGUGAUUAUGGCUAAUUAGAUACUCCAGCCUAUACAGUACGUUCUUCACAUUGUUGAUAUGGAAUGCAUACUGGACAUGUUACAUUUCAUAUAAGAAGACUCUGUUAAAUGUUUGUGAUUCCCGAUUUUUCUUUCCAUGGGGUACAGAAGAAGGUUGCUAGAUGGUAGUGAAGGAUUUAAAAAAUGCUCAUGCGACAUCACAGAUUGGUUUUUUCUUUGUCAUUUGCUAUACUAAAAUGGUUAUGUUUAGGCCUAUAGCUGAUAAUUAGCCCACCUUGCCACCAACUGACAGAAGAUUGUUAGAGGGAUAAAGAGAACACUACUGUUUGAGAAAAUAAUAUUUAGUGGUGACCAACUUUGGUUUCCAACAGGCAGCAGAGUCCUACGUGUACUUUGUUUUCAGUUUCCAAGAAACUGAUUGUAAUCUAUAAUUGCUUGGCUUGAUUCUGCCAGAAAAAUUGUAAUACUAUUCGUAACAGCCCACUGUUUAGGUCAGACCAUGAGGCCAUGAUAUUAGUGACAGUAUAGUUUUAGGUAGAAUACAUCACCUACCUGAGAUCAAGGUUAGCGAACGGAGAAUCUAAUAGAGAAACCAUAAGCAGUAAAUAUGCAGAAUUAUUGUAUCGGUAUGCACAUCACCCAUUCGAGAACUAAUAUGUAUUUUGUUCACGCAACAAGAGCAUACAUAUAAGUAAUAUUGGCCUUUCAGGAAUAUUCCACCAUUACUGUCUCCGCUCACACAGAAGAACGGAUGAUUAAAUCCUUGGUAUCAAGGCCAACAAACUCCAAGAAGAACAUUGGGUGUUGCAGAUAAAAGGUUUGGUAUGUACUCAUGUGUAACUAUUUUGUUGUGUUCUAAUUUUUGAUCAAUUCCUACGGGCAGUAAGCUUAACCUUUGCAUAUAGUGGGGUUUUUUCUUGGGUUGAGGAAAAUGAAGUGCACCAUUGACGUAGAAUUUCGCACUAUUUUUAUUGCUAUCCACACGGUCUGGUUGUUUCUACCACUUGGAUGUUGUGUUUGGAUCCUUGGUUUUAUUUUCUAAUGCACAUUAUGAGAAAAUUAUUAAGAUAGCUCCUGACAGCUCAUGAAAAUUAUUGCCUUGCAAUGACCAAGAUUGGUAUGCCUUUCAUGAAGUAUCGACCUUUGUUGAUUGGAGACAAGUGGUUUCCUCAUUAAUGUGAUAACCAGUUUUCUCUCCCAUUUGUUGUACUAAUUAUGUGCCGUUGGAUAUUUAGGAUAAAUAUGGAAGGAGGUGGUCAUGCCUGAUGUGUUACUAUCCUAUCUAGGUUAGGUGUUUAGGCUCAUUUCAUACUGUGUUGGUGUGUACGCUGGUGGGAUCUGUGUACCCAAUUGAGUUAUUAUCGAGAAGGCCUGGCGUUUUGAAAGCAUGUCUGAGCUCUUUGCUAUCAACAUGCGAGUUACCAUGGUAUGUUUAUGUUUUUAGCCUAUCUGUUUUAUCUCAUGAUUUGUUUAUGCUGGCAGUGAGUUGUGCAGGGUAUGUAGCUUCGAUGCAAGAUUACGAUUGGCGUGUUGCAGCCCAAUCAGGGAUGUUGGGUUCUGACUUUCUGCCCUGUGAUGAGUGUAGCUGCAAAGCAUUACAAGAAGGAUCUGGGUGCAUGUGUUCCAAAGGUUUCAAAUUCUUAUCGUAGUGUGUACAAGGAUCUGCUGUUGAGAUGGUUUUCUUUGGUGGUGUGGGUUGUGGUUUGGUUGGCAGGUCAAACUCGCCAAUGUUUCGUUCCUGGGUAUUUUGCCAUGUUGUCUGCUAUGCCUGACAUUCAUUUUCCCGAGUUAGGUCUUUUCAAUGUCGGUGUGUCGAGACAUUCAUUCCAGAGGGAGGACAUUUGUUUCCAGGUCCUUAACUUCUAUCCUGAAGGCAGUUCAGUUUUUGUUGGGCUUGAUGGAGUGUUGGUAGUUAUGGGCAGGGCAUCUGCCUCAUUAGUUUAGUCAUUUGAUGGCUCUAUUGAUCAAGCGAGUGGGAGUGAGAGAUAACCAUGCCCUGGUGAGACUCCAGUGAAAGAAAAGAACGGAAAAAACUGUCAUUAAGCGACAGGGGCUCGAAUUCAACAAAGCCUCAAACUGGUUCUAGGGGUCAGUGGAUCAGCUGAUAGGCUUUAAACUUGCCCGUCGCGAGUUG